rnacentral:lncRNA from 1 species
GGGCGAGGCUGCGCCCUCCCCCGACGCUCCCUCGGAUGGGACUUCGACGAGCACUGUCGGCACCGACAGUGCGAUGACGGGCUCCACCUCCGACCCAGUCGGCUCGCUCGACGGAGCUACGUGGGGCCUCUUGGGAGGCCGCGAUGGCCCGGCCCCUUGUGCCGGCCUCUUUCGAACGGCGUAUUGUCGAACGUCGGCUGCCGUCAGUCUCGACCUCGAUGGCAUAUCUGCAAACAACGACAGACGGUCAGCAUCAUAAAAGAAAGAAAAGAAGGAAGGGGAAGGAAAAUGAAAAACUGACCUAAGCGAGGGA